CACCCUACGGGAGGCAGCAGUGAGGAAUAUUGGUCAAUGGGCGGAAGCCUGAACCAGCCAAGUAGCGUGCAGGAUGACGGCCCUACGGGUUGUAAACUGCUUUUAUACGGGAAUAACGCGCCUUACGUGUAGGGCUUUGCAUGUACCGUAUGAAUAAGGACCGGCUAAUUCCGUGCCAGCAGCCGCGGUAAUACGGAGGAUGCGAGCGUUAUCCGGAUUUAUUGGGUUUA
rnacentral:rRNA from 1 species